UAAUAUAUAUUAUAUAAUAGGAGAGUUUCUCUCCUCCUGAUGCGACACGUCAGCGGUCUGUGGGUCCCACUUUUUAAAAGUGUGAAAAAAUGUCAAAUAUGUGGUUCGAACCCGGGUUAUUAAGAUAUAAGCACCCACAACUAUACCAUUGCACUAAAGGAUACUUUGUACAUUGAUGGUCGAAACUAAUAUAUAUUAUAAAGGUCGGAAACUAAUAUUACAUUGUUGACCCCACUUCUUUUUUUUUCUAAUUGAUGGGUAACAAAUGUAUUUCGACAAAAAGUGGGCUUUGGGCUUAUUGAUUUUCUGUUUAUUAGGCUUUGUAUCUGCUCAAAGUGGUGAUACGGACAAAGCUAAGAAGAUUAGGGAAGCCGCCAUCUUCACCAUCUCCUUCGUCGCUUGCGAUUUCCCUUCCGGCAAUCAGCAAUUAUGGUCGAUCUUUAAGGCUCUACGCACGUUUUGCGCCUACCAAACGCUUAGUUUCUCCUCUAACGCCUUCAGAGCUCUUAUAUAUAUAGAAUCCCUCGAGGUAAAAGCUCCAUCUUGUCUCGAACUUUUCUUUCUCAGUUUUUCGAUCGCUUUACUUUCUCACAUCUGUCACGAAAAUGACUUAUCCAGCUGCUACAGCCGCUUCAGCCGCCGUUACCUACUCUACCUUCAACUCUCUCCGCCUUGGAAGGUCCACUCAGUCCAUUGUUAGUCGGCUCAUCCGAUUCUAGGAUUCCAGAAACAUUAGAACAAGAAUGGAGAGUUUAUGGGCAUCACCAUUCUCCUCCUUGAUGAACUGGUGAUGAUUGUUUCUAACUUAUUUUUUAUCACUUUAACUCUGCUUUGCUUAUUCUUUGUUCAUAUAUGAAACGUGUCUUUAUCUUUUUGUUUUGGUUUUGUCUAUGGGUUUUUUUAUGAACAACUAAUGAUUUUUCUCUGUUUUUCUUACAGGAUUCUGUGAUCUACGGUUUCAUCACUGCAAUCUCCAAACAAAACAGGAAAACUGAAUGAAUUAUGUUUUUAGCAACCGAAUCUAAAAGAAAUAAAAGACAUCUCACUUAACAAAUUAAAACCUUUUCUUUUGCAGAUUCCGACGACAACGAAGCACCCGAGGACCAACGACAAUGGAAUUAUGCGGAAGAAGCCUAACUGAUGGGGCAGAUCUCCUUAGAAGGGGAGCCACUCGCCACGAUGCUUCCAGUUUCACCAUUUUUGAAACUCUUAUGAACCACAAAGCCAAUAUAAGAGCUCUGUUUCAAUCCAACGGCUGGAUUUUCUCACAGACCACCGCUAAGCCUGAAGAGGGAAGAGAAGUGGAGUGCUGCGUUUUGGAAGAUGGUUACUUGGAGUUUACAAGAUGAAGAUGGAACCCGUGACGAGGAAGACGAGGAGAAGUGUUACUUGGAAUAUCCUAACGUUGAGGAUGUAGACAAUGUGUGAUCUUAGCGAUGAAGAUUAGUGUAGCUUUAAUAUAUGCUACUACGGUCCUUGAGCUCCCUAACAAGUACUAGCAAACAAUGUGUAUUUUGAAAAAAUAAAAUAAUUUUGUAAUGCAAGUAGUUUGAAACUUUGAGUAUUUA